GUCUCACAAUACUCGCCGCCUACCUCUCAGAAAAUAAAGUAAUUCUUAGUUGCUACAACAAACAUUCAAGAUGGUGAAGUUCACAGCUGAGGAGCUUCGAAGGAUUAUGGACUUCAAGCAUAACAUUCGUAAUAUGUCUGUUAUUGCUCAUGUGGACCAUGGAAAAUCUACCCUUACUGAUUCUCUGGUGGCGGCUGCUGGUAUCAUUGCUCAGGAAGUUGCAGGUGAUGUCAGAAUGACAGAUACACGUGCAGAUGAGGCUGAGCGUGGUAUCACCAUCAAGUCCACUGGUAUUUCACUUUACUACGAGAUGACUGAUGACUCCUUGAGGAACUUCAAGGGAGAGAGAAAUGGGAACGAGUACCUCAUCAACCUCAUCGAUUCACCUGGGCACGUUGACUUCUCAUCUGAAGUGACUGCUGCUCUUCGUAUUACUGACGGUGCGCUUGUUGUGGUUGAUUGUGUGGAAGGUGUCUGUGUCCAGACAGAGACUGUGCUCCGUCAGGCCCUUGGUGAAAGGAUUCGUCCUGUCUUGACAGUUAACAAGAUGGACAGGUGUUUCCUCGAGCUUCAGGUUGAUGGAGAGGAGGCCUAUCAGACAUUCCAAAGAGUUAUUGAGAAUGCUAAUGUUAUCAUGGCUACAUAUGAGGAUCCCCUUCUUGGUGAUGUCCAGGUUUAUCCUGAGAAAGGUACCGUUGCUUUCUCCGCUGGGUUGCAUGGGUGGGCUUUCACUCUCACCAAUUUUGCCAAGAUGUAUGCUUCCAAAUUUGGUGUUGAUGAGUCUAAGAUGAUGGAGAGGCUGUGGGGUGAGAACUUUUUUGACCCUGCCACCAAAAAGUGGACCACCAAAAACACUGGUUCAGCUUCGUGCAAGCGUGGUUUUGUUCAAUUCUGCUAUGAACCAAUCAAGCAGAUUAUCAACACUUGCAUGAACGAUCAGAAAGAUAAGCUCUGGCCUAUGUUGCAGAAGCUUGGUGUAACCAUGAAAUCUGAUGAAAAAGAUCUGAUGGGAAAGGCACUGAUGAAGCGUGUGAUGCAGACCUGGCUUCCCGCAAGUACUGCUCUUCUUGAAAUGAUGAUAUAUCAUCUCCCAUCACCGUCCACAGCUCAAAAAUACCGUGUGGAGAACUUGUACGAGGGACCACUUGAUGAUGCUUAUGCUAAUGCUAUCAGGAACUGUGACCCAGAAGGGCCGCUUAUGCUUUAUGUAUCAAAGAUGAUUCCAGCAUCUGACAAGGGUAGAUUCUUUGCUUUUGGUCGUGUAUUUGCUGGGAAGGUUUCUACUGGUAUGAAGGUUAGAAUCAUGGGUCCUAACUAUGUUCCUGGUGAAAAGAAGGAUCUAUAUGUUAAGAAUAUCCAGCGAACUGUUAUUUGGAUGGGUAAGAGGCAAGAAACUGUUGAGGAUGUUCCCUGUGGUAACACUGUUGCCAUGGUU
rnacentral:misc_RNA from 1 species